UACGGAGGGUGCGAGCGUUGUUCGGAAUCACUGGGCUUAAAGGGCGCGUAGGCGGGUGCUCAAGUCUGUGGUGAAAUCCUCCGGCUCAACCGGAGAACUGCCAUGGAUACUGGGUGCCUCGAGGGUGGUAGGGGUAUGCGGAACUAUCGGUGGAGCGGUGAAAUGCGUUGAUAUCGAUAGGAACUCCGGUGGCGAAGGCGGCAUACUGGACCACUUCUGACGCUGAGGCGCGAAAGCCAGGGGAGCGAACGGG
rnacentral:rRNA from 1 species